rnacentral:rRNA from 1 species
CUACGGGGGGCUGCAGUGGGGAAUAUUGCACAAUGGAGGAAACUCUGAUGCAGCAACGCCGCGUGGAGGAUGACACUUUUCGGAGCGUAAACUCCUUUUAUAUAGGAAGAAGAUGACGGUACUAUAUGAAUAAGCGCCGGCUAACUCCGUGCCAGCAGCCGCGGUAAUACGGAGGGCGCGAGCGUUACUCGGAAUCACUGGGCGUAAAGAGCGUGUAGGCGGAUUAAAAAGUCAGAAGUGAAAUCCUAUAGCUUAACUAUAGAACUGCUUCUGAAACUCUUAAUCUAGAAUAGGGGAGAGGUAGAUGGAAUUUCUGGUGUAGGGGUAAAAUCCGUAGAGAUCAGAAGGAAUACCGAUUGCGAAGGCGAUCUACUAGAACAUUAUUGACGCUGAGACGCGAAAGCGUGGGGAGCAAACAGGAUUAGAUACCCGGGUAGUC